rnacentral:antisense_RNA from 2 species
UGUAGGAGCGAGCCUGCUCGCGAUGGCGUCGUGUCAGGCAACAGUGAUGUUGGCUGCAAAAACGCUAUCGCGAGCAGGCUCGCUCCCACA